CUACGGGUCGCUCCAGUGGGGAAUCUUGCGCAAUGGGCGAAAGCCUGACGCAGCAACGCCGCGUGAGCGAAGAAGGCCUUCGGGUUGUAAAGCUCUGUCAGGGGGAAAGAAGGCACCUGGGUUAAUAGCCCAAGGGCUGACGGUACCCCCAAAGGAAGCCACGGCUAACUACGUGCCAGCAGCCGCGGUAAUACGUAGGUGGCAAGCGUUGUCCGGAAUCAUUGGGCGUAAAGCGCGCGUAGGUGGUUUGUCAGGUCCGAUGUGAAAUCCUGGGGCUCAACUCCAGGCGUGCAUUGGCAACCGGCUUACUAGAGUCUGGGAGAGGAGAGUGGAAUUCCUGGUGUAGCGGUGAAAUGCGUAGAUAUCAGGAGGAACACCAGUAGCGAAGGCGGCUCUCUGGAACAGUACUGACGCUGAGGCGCGAAAGCUAGGGGAGCGAACAGGAUUAGAUACCCUUGUAGUC
rnacentral:rRNA from 1 species